rnacentral:misc_RNA from 1 species
AUUUCAAAUCCUCUAAAACGUCUUGUAAAUUAUUGGUUUGCACUAAAAUUAUUCCUUUGCAUAUUCAAACGCUCCCUUCCGAUUCCAAAAUCCUAAAUUUCUUCGGAAUUUCAAAUUUCAGUCACUUCAAAUAAAGCUAUCCAAUUGGGUAUUUGAAGAUUCAAGCCUUUCAAAUUCGCCUCUUUGUUGUUGGAAUCCGUCCUAAAAAAAAAAAAAAAA